rnacentral:lncRNA from 1 species
UUUGAGUUUUACAAGAAAGCUCGAUCAUCGAAGAAACACAGGCUGAAGUCCCAACGGAAACAACCUUUUCAUAAAGAAGAUGCUUCAGGAUUGAUGGAAGUAGAAAAUGCAGCCAUAGAUGACCUUGCUUCGGCCGUCUCAAAAUUGAGCACUUCUGAUUCGACUCCUUCAUCUAUCAGCUUUGGUCACCGCCGCAAAGGUAUGACAUUUGUCCCUCGAUCUGUUCGACAUGGAAGUGGAUCAAACCCUUGAUCAUUCACAACAACCAAGCCCUACUUUCACAAGCAGGGUUGACUACAUGGAUCAAACUACGCUAUAAUUGUUAAAAAAUUCCUUUUAUCAAUCUCAGGAUUUCUUUUUUACUAUGGUUGUAGAAGUUGAUUCCAUUUGAGUUAUGGAAGAUCAAGAAAGAAGAAUCAUUGCUAGAGAAUGUAAUAGCAUACAUUAGUUUUAUUAUGAUCUCUUGCUACUUUUCAAUGCUGUGCAUGAGGCUUUAAGCCUGUAUGUUUACUUAAAUAGGCAAUGUGCCCAUGUAAGGGGCAAUAAGUGUGACUUCCUAGGGCUAACAAUUUUGAAGGGUCAUCCUAAAAAACUUUAAUUGAAUGACUUCAUCAUGUAAAUUUUAUAAUGGUUUUGUUACAUUUCAUAGUAUUACUUUAAUCAUUAGCAUAUAAAUUGUAUUAUUAUGGACUUGCAUGGUAUAUUUAGGAAGUCCUUAUCUUAAGCAAAAGUUCCAAAAAUAUUAUAAAUUGAUAUUUUUUAUAGUUUUAGCAUUAAAGUUUGAGGAAUUCCCUACCUUAGGACAUUUAUAUCAUGUUAAUAGUCACUUUGUGAUUAAUGUCGAAAUAAAUCUAUGGACCCUGUUACAACUAGCCAAAUGAUAUUGUUGUAUAUCAACCUUGUUUUCACAUUGAUAUUUCUUUUAAAAUAAAAUAAAAACUACAUUAGUCUAGUAUACCAAAUGGACUUGUACAUGAUUUUAAUUGAUUUGGAGAAGAUCAUGUUGCCUAUAUUCAAACAAUUAAUAUGUAUAUUGAAAUGAAGGCCUAUGUGAGAAUACGAGAUGAAAUCUCAAGAUUUAUUAUAUAUUGUUAUAUGAAUAUACCAAUAUCAACAUUGAGCCAAUACAUGUUUACAUUAGUCUUGAAUGUGCUUAGUGAGCUUAUCUAGGAACUAACGCGAUAAUGCAUGUUUUGUGUAGAUGGUAUUAUCCUAGUUAGAUAAUCAAAUGAGAAAUUAAAUAAUAAAUUACAAAUAUGAAAAUAAGUUUUAGAAGUAUAUGGCUUUGAUAUAAGUCGAUGUAAGAUAUAGUAUAUAGAUUGUAAGUUUAGCAAAAUGCAGACAAACUCUAAUAUAGUAGUAAAGAUCUUGGAAUCAUACAAUAUGACGAGAAAAUUGAGGAAGAUGUAAAUCAUAGAAUUCGAGCUGGGUGCAUGAAAUGGUAAAGUGCAUAGAGUAUUAUAAAAUGCACUUCAUGAAAUUAGUCUUACAUUUUAAUAGUGUAUAAAUUAAAAUUAGAACAUAACCUUAUAUAUGAAAAAUAAAAAAUUAUAUUUGAAUAAUAGAGAAGAAAGGACACAUGUUAAACACUUCUUUGCAGACUCAUCCAUGUUUUAUACAUGCCAUGAAUGAAUUAUGUUUUUGUACGGUUGUAAAAAACGAGUUUGAUUCGGUGUGUGUACUCUGUAGAUGCAAAGAGGGAAAAACAUGAUUGGAAAAGAAAAAUGGUUACCUCAGCAAAAUGGUAAGGUUGUUUGCUUUGUGACUUGGAGGUCAUGAUUUCAAAUCAUAGAAACAUCCUCUUCACUUAUAAGGGUAAGGUUGCAUAGAUCUAUCCUCCUCAAUGCCCGGUACAUAGGAGCCUCAUGCUAUGGGUUGUAAGUUUUGAAAAGUGUGAAUACCCGUUAAAUUUGAAGAAGGCUGAAUUAUAGCACUUCGCAAAGUAGUAGAGUGUCCCUAGAAGAUUUUUAGGAGAAAUUUAUGGGAAAAUCUGAGAUUGAAUUUGAAUUGAAGGAAUAACUUGGUGCCACUUGACAAAAUAAAGGAACUUCAGUACAGAUUCUAUAUAUAGUAAUGAUAGUAUUGAUAAUAACAAUGAUGCUUAAUACCACUUCACUUUUUCAACCAUGGGAAACAUGGGUGAGCCUAUUUCUACUUUUCUAUUCACAUUUCUUAUUAACCCAUCAUAUUAAUUAAAAUACUGAUCCAUUAAUAAUAUACAGUUUAGAGUGUCUAUCAGGUUAGGAUGGCAUAUGUAUCUUUUUUGUUGUGUUUCAUGGUAGAGUUUUUUAAGGUUGUUGUCUGUUUGAUUAAUGAGUAUGAAUACUUGACGUCCUGAAUGUUGAAGUGCUAAUUACUGAGUUACCAUUUUGUAUUUGAAAGGUUGCAUUGGAGUUAACAGAAGAGAAGCAACAGCUUGAGAGUUGGAUGCAAGAGGAUGGCAGGUAAUGGUUGGUUGUUAUUCAUGUUGUUGCUGGCUCUUACGAAAAGUCGAAAACUAUAACGCACUCAUGGUUUUGGUUUUCAUAUGCAAGGUUUUAAAUUGUUGUCAUGAUGUGGUUUUGAUACAAACAAAAUGUCUUGGAUGAGUUAACAAUGAUCAACAUUGAGCUCCUACCUGUUGCAUGUGAACUGUGCAUAUCGAAGAACCGACAUCACAAUGCAUGCAUUUUUAUGGAUGAUAUUGUCCUAGUUAGGUACUCAAUAAAGAAAUGAAACGAGAAGCUAAAAAUAGGGAGACAAGCUUUAGAAUAAUAUGACUUUCGUAUAAAUAAAAGUAAGUCGGAGUAUAUGAAAUGCAAGUUUAGCAAGAUGUGAACAAGCCCUACUAUAAUGGUGAAAAAAGGAUAUCACAUCAUACUGCACAUCUGUAGGAUUCUUAAUGUUAAAUGAGAUUCAUCGUUGGACGGUAAAAUGUCAACAAGAACCGGAUUUAGAUUUAAAUGGUUUCCCUAUAAAUAUGAUCUAUGUUAAGAUUUUAUAACGUCGUUCGAUCUAUAUAGUUAGAAUAAAGACCCUACCUAAUGGGAAAGGUUUGGUUGUUGUUAUACGUUUUAAAGUCUAGACCCUUGUUGAAUAAUAUGCAUUGUUCACUGAGGUAUUGUUGAAAUGACAGUAUAUUUGCCUGAUUUCAAAGCUAUCCAUUUGUUUAGGGAAGUCUUUUGUCCUAUUGUUGGUUGUGGAGCACGCUUGAUUUCUAUGGAGGACUUUGAAAAUCACUAUAAUGCAAGGCAUACUGCAGUUUGUUCAGUGUGUUCCAGAGUCUAUCCAACAUCGCGUCUUCUCAGCAUUCAUAUAUCUGAAGCGCAUGAUUCUUUCUUUCAGGCAAAAGUUGCACGUGGCUAUGACAUGGUAUGUAAACCUAAAUCUGAUGCAUUGUGGUAGAAUGAAAUGAUUCCUUGUAGAAUUGCAUCUAUCAUGCUCUUUGAUUCUAUGUCGAUGGUGUAGUAUAUUCAAUUUGGCUUUUGUUUUUUCAAUUUUAUUUAAUAAACUAUCCCCUUCUUACAUAACUUUAUGACCUUACAAGUGUCAAUAUUAAAAAGAAUGACAGCCCAAUGCACGAGGCUCCCAUUUAGUGGGAUCUGAGAAGGGGAGGGUAGAUAUAUGCAGCCUUACUCCUAUAAGUGGAGAGGUUGUUUUCAACAUUUGAACUUGUGACCUCAUAGUCACUAAGCAACAACCUUACCGUUGUGCCAAGCUCAUGCUCAGUGUUUUAAAUUGCGAUCAUGGUUGCGAUUACUACGAUUCUGGACAUUGCAAUCAUUGUGAUGCGGAUUGCAGUCAUUGCAGUGUAAAUUAUUUUGUGAUUAAAAAAUAUUUUUGGACUUGAUGCAGUCUAAUACGGCCCAAAUACGGUCUGAUAUGGUUGUGCUAUGGCCCAAUGCGACUGCAUCAUUGUAGUUCAGUGUCGCACUACAAUUGUUGUGUGAUACGGCGAUCGCAUCACAUGAUGUGGUCCACAAUUUCAAUCACUGCUCAUCCUCUUACGUGUCAAUACUAAAAAAAUCAUUUACAAUUUGGUUCUUUUAAAGGGUGAUUAAAGUAAAACUCUGCUUUGCUGAAGUUUAGAAAUUUCUUGCCAUUGUUCCUUAUUUAUCUUGUUUAGAUCUCAUAGUUUUUAGCCUGCUAUCACUUUUUCCUUUGCUUCCACUUGUUUAAUCCAUCGUUUAAAGGGUCAUCUCAUUAAUAUGAUCCUUGUAUCUUUGCUAAAUAGUAUGAAUGCUUAGUAGAAGGGUGUGGUUUGAAAUUCAAAAGCUACAAUAGUAGACAGCAGCAUCUAGUUGACAAACAUAAAUUCCCUACCACAUUUGAGUUUUACAAGAAAGCUCGAUCAUCGAAGAAACACAGGCUGAAGUCCCAACGGAAACAACCUUUUCAUAAAGAAGAUGCUUCAGGAUUGAUGGAAGUAGAAAAUGCAGCCAUAGAUGACCUUGCUUCGGCCGUCUCAAAAUUGAGCACUUCUGAUUCGACUCCUUCAUCUAUCAGCUUUGGUCACCGCCGCAAAGGUAUGACA